rnacentral:lncRNA from 1 species
UGCUUGAACUAUGACAGAACAUUUUUAGGCUGCUUUCCCCCUGAUUUGCUGUGCUCCCUCUGGCUGAUCCUUGUCUUGAACAGCAAAGGUGAAAACCAUCUUCCACUGCAAAAUGAUGGAGAUAGGACCUUGAACUUACUGGAUCAAAAAAGGCUGGAGGAUAGGAUUUCUUCUGUCCUGGUCUUCUCUCAGCAGAAAUACCCAAACAAGGAAAGUGGCACAGCCCCUGUUUUGGACAGAAGGACGCUGUGCAAGGAAAAUGAACAUCAGUUCCCAGUUUGGUCACCUUCCAGGUACUGGAGCAACAUAGCUGAGUUGUGGGUUGACUUACGCUUGCAUCACUACCCUGAACCUGAUUGUGUCUGCAGUCAUCUGGAACUGACUACAUGCCUAGACUGAUAAAACAUGCCGUGCAAACAUGAAUCUCUCUGAGGCCAUGGCAAGAUGCUUUUGCAGUAUCCUGUCCCUCUAUUGCCUGGACUUCUGGAAGACAGGAGAGUGAGAAUCAGCGGUGAUUGUUUUCCUACCGGCGCAGUUUGAGAACUACUUUGACAGCCAAUAGAACAGGAACUACCUUGCAGUGUUGCCACCGCAAGUGCAUGCUCUUUCUGACAGUGUAUGAUUGCGCUGUGUCCGCAGCGGGGAAUGAUGCCAGAAUUGCCGUCUAAUCAUCCAUAUUCUUUUCUCAUACUGUAACCAAGUUGUUUUCCAAAAACGUUCAUGCAAAAAUGCAAAGAUUCUCCACGUAGAAUAAAGUAGGCCUAUAGGGCCUAAGGAAGGGCUGG